rnacentral:rRNA from 1 species
UACGUAGGGACCGAGCGUUGUCCGGAAUCAUUGGGCGUAAAGAGCGUGUAGGCGGCUUGCUAAGUCCUGCGUGAAAUCUCGGGGCUCAACCCCGAGCGGUCGUGGGAAACUGGCAGGCUAGAGUGCGGGAGAGGAGAGUGGAAUUCCUGGUGUAGCGGUGAAAUGCGCAGAUAUCAGGAAGAACACCCGUGGCGAAGGCGGCUCUCUGGAACGCAACU